rnacentral:sRNA from 1 species
UAAUUCAUAUGUUAUUGAGGAACAACUUCAGGCUGGUCAUAUAGAAUCAACGCUUAGUCCUUGGAACACCCCAAUUUUUGUUAUUAAGAAAAAGUCAGGGGGGCUGGGGAUAUAGCUCAGUUGGUAGAGUGCUUGCCUUGCAUGCACAAGGCCCUGGGUUCAAUCCCCAGCACCACCAAAAAAAAAAAAAAAAGAAAAAGUCAGGUAAUUGGAGAUUAUUACAGGAUUUAAGGCCAAUAAAUCAGGCAAUUCAGGCUAUGGGAUCAUUUCAGCCUGGACUUCCUUCCCCCACAGUAAGUCCUUUAAAUUAUAGCUUAAUGGUAAUAGAUCUAAAAUAUUGCUUUUUUCUCAAUAAGGUUGCAUCCUGAGGAUUCUGAAAAAUUUGUUUUCAG